rnacentral:lncRNA from 7 species
GUGGGCAUGGUGGGGGUGGGUCAUUGGUUGGACUAGAUGUUCUUAGAGGACUUUUCCAGCCUUAAUGCUUGAUUCUAUGUAACGUGAUGCCUCAUCUUCUGCUUUUAGAUACUUAAGAGAUUGCUGCAUUUCAGGAAGGUCUCUGCAUUCUGUUCAUGUCCAUCUGCUUUACUGCUGCUGCCUCCUGCCCAGUACCUACCACAGGCUCCUUGCACUUUCAGACAGAGGCUCUUUUGCACCUCAUUCUCUGUGUAUAAGCUCUUUUCUUCUCUGCCAUCCCUCUCAAUCGCCCCUUUAUUUCCUUACCAAAAGACCCAGAUCAUAGCUAUUAGAGGUGGAGAAGGCACAUGGUAGUGCUGUCGUAGCCUCCUGGCCUGGUGCCCCUUCCCCUCUCUCCAAGCCUCACUAUGCCUUCCAAGUGUUCUUUCCUAGCAGAUACCUUCAUUAUUUAAACUGCAGUCUCUUAGGGAGCAAAGAGUGCAAUUUUGGAGCGUGCACCGACGGCCGUCUUUCAGGCAGCACCACAUAGUUAAUUAACACUGACAAUACGAAGAGAGGAGAGACGGCGAAAAACACAUUGAGGGAAAAUACCAGAAAAUGACUGAACGUGGGUGCCCCAAAGGACAAAGAGAUGCAGAAUUGAACAGCUGCCACAUAACACAGUGAACAGAACAGUAACCGCUCACCGCUGCAUUUGAGUACAUCCACUGAGCAAAAUCCACUGUAUUGAAUUCUUGAGACACCUGGUUUGUCAGCCAUAGUACUCAAUAUCUUCAGGUAGAACUUGUGAAGGUUUCAUGGAAACCACAAAUCAUUUCACAGUGACAACAAAAUUCAACUUGAACUCGUUAUUCCCACUCAGAAUGCAUUUCUGCAUACAGUUCCUGAAGGACCCUCCUUUUCCUCUCCAGAUAUUAAUAACUCAAUGAAAAUACAGUAAAACUGAACCAAGUAGUCAACACUGGUAAAAAAAAUAAAAGUCUCUAUCAAAUACACACCUUUGUUACAAACGUUUUCAUAUCUAAAGAUAUAAAAAGAAAAGAAAAACCAAAUUUUGUUGCCUGAAAUUUGGUACAGAUAUGGGUCAAUAGAGAAAUACCAUUCAAUCCUGAAGAUGUUGAAUGGGUUUCCUACUGAAGUCAGUUGCAAUUUUUUGUGCAGGAGAAACAGAACUGUACAUGCCAGCAAAAGACUUACUUUAGUUGAUGAUGAAUAUUGUUGUAGCAUAUUCCUCUCUGUGUUGUGGAAAUAAAACUAUUUUCCCACUCU